GCAACAGUAGCUCAAUAGAGAGAGUGUCGGCCUUGUAAGUCGAAGGUGAAUACAAUAUUUCCUGUUGCU
rnacentral:tRNA from 1 species